CAAAAUGUAGCUUAACCAAAGCAUUUAGUUUACACCUAAAAGAUUUCAAAUAAUAGUGAACGUUUUGA
rnacentral:tRNA from 1 species